AUGACCAGAGAAGAACCUCUUCCCAAGAAAGUUCGACUGAGUGAAACAGACUUCAAAGUUAUGGCAACAGAUGAGUUAAUUCUAAGAUGGAAACAAUAUGAAGCAUACGUACAAGCUUUGGAGGGCAAGUAUACAGAUCUUAAACUCUAAUGAUGUAACUGGCCUAAGAGAGUCUGAAGAAAAACUAAAGCAACAACAGCAAGAGUCUGCACGCAGGGAAAACAUCCUUGUAAUGCGACUAGCAACCAAGGAACAAGAGAUGCAAGAGUGUACUACUCAAAUCCAGUACCUCAAGCAAGUCCAGCAGCCGAGCGUUGCCCAACUGAGAUCAACAAUGGUAGACCCAGCGAUCAACUUGUUUUUCCUAAAAAUGAAAGGUGAACUGGAACAGACUAAAGACAAACUGGAACAAGCCCAAAAUGAACUGAGUGCCUGGAAGUUUACGCCUGAUAGGUAA
rnacentral:lncRNA from 1 species